GAGACUUAUACCAGAGUAGAAGCUUCUAACUUCAUACUCCAGCGGUUAAAUUCCGUUAACCUCUCA
rnacentral:tRNA from 1 species